rnacentral:rRNA from 1 species
UACGGAGGGUGCAAGCGUUAUCCGGAUUCACUGGGUUUAAAGGGUGCGUAGGUGGGCAGGUAAGUCAGUGGUGAAAUCUCUGGGCUUAACUCAGAAACUGCCAUUGAUACUAUCUGUCUUGAAUACCGUGGAGGUCAGCGGAAUAUGUCAUGUAGCGGUGAAAUGCUUAGAUAUGACAUAGAACACCAAAUUGCGAAGGCAGCUGGCUACACGAAUAUUGACACUGAUGCACGAAAGCGUGGGGAUCAAACAGGA